AAAGUCGUAACAAGGUAACCGUAGGUGAACCUGCGGUUGGAUCAUUAGAAAUUAUCGGUGGUGGUUUUCUCGUUAUGGGGAUUCCGCUUUUAAAAACACCGUUAAACCUUUAUGUGAACUUGUAUCUGUUCUUGGUGUCCGGGUCUGGGGGACCCUUAAAUGCAGUGGGAAGGAACGGGGGGAAUCGCGUGAACCUAGGUUGGCGCGUUUUCCCCCGUUUAUCACGGGCCACCAACUGUGUUGAACCUUGAUAAGUCUUUGUUUGUUUUGGUCUUUCUUUUAACGUCUCCUUGAUUGGAGUGUUAAUACAAAAUUGAAAACAACUUUUGGCAACGGAUCUCUUGGCUCUC
rnacentral:misc_RNA from 1 species